rnacentral:lncRNA from 1 species
CUCAUUCUUUCGAUAGCUAUUUUUGGUGCCGUUAGGGCUAGUCAGGUUAUGGAAUGAAAUAAAAUUGAAACAAAAAACCCAAUCAAAACUAGAGGUGCUUUGGAAAGAUUAUAGUGAUACAAAUGGAAAUCUACAAUUACCUGAAGAACUUUAUUUCAAACACAUAGUAGAAAAUGUCUUUAUUAUAGACGAGUCUUUGCAAGAACAAAUUCUCGGACUAAACAAAAUCUAUUUAGAUCUCAUUAGUCAUGGCACAGACAGUCGUUACUUUAUUGACAUUCUGAAUACGUAUGGCCCUUUUGUAGGUAUGUAGUUAGGACUUGGUUGGGUUUUCUGUUUUCUUUUUGUUGUUCAGGUCGAUCACUGGUUCAUUUUUUGACUAAAAAAGAAGGAAGAAUAGAUAGCAUGGCCCAAAUUCUCUACUAUUAUUAUAAGAGGGCCCUCUAAAGCUAUUGGAUAAACCUAUCUAUGGGUUGCUCCUCUGUCUAGAAAACAUUAGGGAAUCCUCUACACCCUGAAAAUGGGGAUUUAAAACAUGGUUGGGCCUGAUCAAUAACCACUCUUAUGUAAUUGAAACUCCCUCAUCUUUACUGUUUUUUCUAUCUCGCAUAUAGUUUUUGAAUUCAAUUCUGUUGUCUGUUUUCUCGGAUCAUCAUAUGUACUAGUAGAAAAGAAAAAUAAAAGCAAAGUUUUUCAAUCUUCCAACUCUGCUAAACUUUUCUGAAUAACAGAAUUUUGCAAUACAGUUCUCUUAUACGGAACUACUAGAUUGGCGAGACAAGAGAGAAAGCUUAUAAAGUAGUAAGGUGUCUGUGGGGCUUGCCUUACAGGUAGUGACUAGACCACUUACAUAUCGAACAGAUCUUACUCUCAAUGGAUGAACAGAUCUUACUCUCAAUGGAUUAAUUGCGAGAUGACCUAGGAACAACCAGAAUACCGAACUUGGAUAAUCAUUAGACUGUUACGAGAAUGAUUGGCGUCAUCAUUUGGUUCACUGCGGAGAACCCUUUCUACGCUACGUUCCCAAUAGAAAGCCGUCAUCCUUCUCUGUUAUCCCUACACCAGACAAACAAUGUUAGUUAAAUAUGGCGUCCUCUUUCCUACACUUCUUCUGAUUCAAAUUAGCUUAGAUGAAACGGAACAGGGCCCGUGGAUACCUUGACCAGAAAAGGAUGCCUUUUCCCAACCAAUCCAAAAAAGUAAGAGAGGUCGUACCGUGUAACUUUUGCUAAAAGCUGUCUUCUCCACAAGGAUUGGCUAUGAUGGGACUUUCUGAGAUGCCCAGAUCAUAUCCGCUGCUUGUUGUUCAGCCUCGAGCACUAAAGUCUAUUUAGUCUCUUGUGUCAGUAAAGGCAGGCAAUACAGCGGUAAGCUAUGUUAACCGGAUAAGGAAAAUGCAAGUCCAUUCUUUCUUAACUGUGUGCUUCAAGUGCUUACUUUCAUUUCCAAUCAAGGAUUUAAAAGACUUUUCAGAGCUAAGGCAAGGGGAGGACAAGCCUAAGACCCUGCCAAGAACUUGCAAUACGGGCUAAGCCGUCCCAAGUAAAGGUAAUAUGGUAGGCUUGAAAAUUUCUUUUUCUUUUUUGAUUCAUGUAGAAAGCCGGCGUUCCUCAUACUCCUUCCUUCAUUCAUUGAGUUGGAGGCCCGCCCGUUAUGCAUUGCAUGAAAGAACAGUCACUCACAUCGGUGAGGGCUGCGUUAUGCCACCUGCCCUUAUCCUGGUAGUACUGCUUUAGCAAAGCGAACGGUAGGUCAAAGAGGUCUGGGACCAUCCUUCCUUUCAUAGGCUGGAGCUGCCUUUACAUAGCGGUGCCCUUUAGUUGCAUGUUCAAUGACGGCAAGACCCUACUUGCUGGUUUUUCCAUCAUCCAAUCCAUAACAAAUCGGGUGAAAGCCUGAUACUUCUCACCUACUCAAACGAUAUUGAAAACUACCAUUCCUUUGAAUCGAAAAAGGUUUCGAAGGGCGCCGAAGGUCAGUUCAAUGGUAAGAUCUGAACGGGAGAUUCACGGGUCAGAGGGUGGGGAAAGAAAAGCUGGUGCGGUCAAACGCCCUCACGCAAUGCCGCACACAAGGAAGGGUGAAAAGUGGAAGAAGAAUUCCUCCCCUUUCAAGAAGGGUGUGGAUAUGGUCUAUCGCCAAAAGAAGAAGUCAAAUCAGAAGCAACUGGGCAAGCAAAUGCCGUUAAGUUAAAGGGCCAUAGCGUAGCUCGAGCCAGAGCUUUUGAGUUUUCCAACUAAGUUC